rnacentral:rRNA from 1 species
AGAGUUUGAUCCUGGCUCAGGAUGAACGCUAGCGACAGGCCUAACACAUGCAAGUCGAGGGGCAUCGGGACGUAGCAAUACGUUGCCGGCGACCGGCGGAUGGGUGAGUAACGCGUAUGCAACCUACACGUAGCAGGGGGAUAGCCCGUUGAAAGACGGAUUAAUACCCCGUAACACAGGGGCUCCGCAUGGAGAUUAUUGUUAAAGGGUCAUUUCUUUUUCAGGGAUGGUCCGGCUGCGGAUGGGCAUGCGUUCCAUUAGGUAGUUGGUGUAGGUAAUGGCUCACCAAGCCGACGAUGGAUAGGGGAACUGAGAGGUUGGUCCCCCACACUGGUACUGAGACACGGACCAGACUCCUACGGGAGGCAGCAGUGAGGAAUUUUGGUCAAUGGACGCAAGUCUGAACCAGCCAUGUCGCGUGAAGGAGGACGGCCCUAAGGGUUGUAAACUUCUUUUGCAGUGGAAUAAAGUUUGCCACGUGUUGGCGAUUUGCAAGUACGCUGCGAAUAAGGAUCGGCUAACUCCGUGCCAGCAGCCGCGGUAAUACGGAGGAUCCGGGCGUUAUCCGGAUUUAUUGGGUUUAAAGGGUGCGCAGGCGGGGAAUUAGGUCGGCGGUGAAAUUUCGGGGCUCAACCUCGACAGUGCCGUUGAAACCGUUUCUCUUGAGUGCGGAUGAGGUAGGCGGAAUUUGUGGUGUAGCGGUGAAAUGCGUAGAUAUCACAAGGAACACCGAUUGCGGAGGCAGCUUACUAAACCGUUACUGACGCUCAUGCACGAAAGCGUGGGGAUCAAACAGGAUUAGAUACCCUGGUAGUCCACGCAGUAAACGAUGAUUACUUGCUGUUUGCGAUACACAGUAAGCGGCGAAGCGAAAGCGUUAAGUAAUCCACCUGGGGAGUACGUUCGCAGA